CAGAGAGUAGAGCAAAACGGAUCGUAGCAGGAAGAGAGUGUAGUCCUUUGUCCUUGGCUCUAUAUAGCCCAAAUUACAUCAUAACGUUUAGUUUAGACUCUGCCAUAUAAGGAAGUUCCCUAUAUAAAGACCACCUCAAAUCUCUUAUACAGCAAAUUCCAGAGACCCCAUGGUACAGAAUAGCAAACGCCAUCUGUUCUGUUUAACCCAUUAGACAACCACACCUUAAUAUGUAUUUG